UACACAAUCCCAAACCCCCAAACCCACAGUGUUCAUUUCCCGUUUCCUCUCUCAAUCCAAACACACCAAAACCCCCAAACCCACCAUGUUCAUUUCCCCUCUCCUCUUCUCUCAACUCAAGAAAACAGAGAAGGAGAACCAAGGAAAGAAAACGAAAGACAACAGAGAGGGAGUGAGCGGUUAGGGUUUUGUACCAAUGGUGGAGGGUGAUGUGAAAAAGGGGGUCAUUAAGUGCUUACAUUUGGGUUUAUUGCUCCGAUUGAUGUAAGCGGACAUGUCUUUGUUCACCAAUCAGCUAUAAAAUUUAAGGGUUUUCACAGCCUCGUUGAAGGAGAGACGGUGUUCGUUCGUUGUGGAGGAUGGCCGACCCUAUGCGUCGAAAGUGACGAGCCCUCAUGGUGCCCCUGUGCACCCUUGGUUGAAGCAGCAGUGGGGGUGGAUACAACACGAAAUUCAAGAAAGAAAACCUUACUGGGUUUUGAAAAAACAAAGCAACAGAGAAGAAAGGUCAAGAAAAAAGGAAAAGAAAUUAAUUGGAGGACUUCUCUAUUUGUAUCUAUGUGAGCAAGCUUGUGGAUUUGUAUAAGGGAAGUUCGGAGGAAUGGUUGUAGAAGGCGGUAGAGCAUGAGGGAGUCAUCAAGGCUUUAGAACUACUAAUGGAGUGUGUAUGAAGUGGCAACUAGGAGGAACACUACAGCUGUACUGGGAGGGCUGGGACUUUGAAAACAAUAACACACAUGAUGAUUAAAGAAAGUAGAAAGUGUUU